rnacentral:rRNA from 1 species
CCUACGGGCGGCAGCAGUGGGGAAUAUUGGACAAUGGGGACAACCCUGAUCCAGCCAUGCCGCGUGUGUGAAGAAGGCCCUCGGGUUGUAAAGCACUUUCAGUGAGGAAGAACGCCUGGUGGUUAAUACCCAUCAGGAAAGACAUCACUCACAGAAGAAGCACCGGCUAACUCCGUGCCAGCAGCCGCGGUAAUACGGAGGGUGCGAGCGUUAAUCGGAAUUACUGGGCGUAAAGCGCGCGUAGGUGGCUUGAUAAGCCGGUUGUGAAAGCCCCGGGCUCAACCUGGGAACGGCAUCCGGAACUGUCAAGCUAGAGUGCAGGAGAGGAAGGUAGAAUUCCCGGUGUAGCGGUGAAAUGCGUAGAGAUCGGGAGGAAUACCAGUGGCGAAGGCGGCCUUCUGGACUGACACUGACACUGAGGUGCGAAAGCGUGGGUAGCAAACAGGAUUAGAUACCCCGGUAGUC